rnacentral:misc_RNA from 1 species
GAAAUGCGAUACGUAGUGUGAAUUGCAGAAUUCAGUGAAUCAUCGAAUCUUUGAACGCACAUUGCGCCCAUUGGUAUUCCAAUGGGCAUGCCUGUUCGAGCGUCAUUUGUACCCUCAAGCUUUGCUUGGUGUUGGGCGUUUGUCCUGCGGGACUCGCCUUAAAACGAUUGGCAGCCGGCACACUGGUUUGGAGCGCAGCACAAAUUGCGGUCCAGCCAUGAAUGUCGGCGUCCAUGAAGCCCCCAUUUCACUUUUGACCUCGGAUCAGGUAGGGAUACCCGCUGAACUUAA